rnacentral:rRNA from 1 species
UACGGAGGGUGCAAGCGUUAUCCGGAUUCACUGGGUUUAAAGGGUGCGUAGGCGGGCAGGUAAGUCAGUGGUGAAAUCCUGGAGCUUAACUCCAGAACUGCCAUUGAUACUAUCAGUCUUGAAUAUUGUGGAGGUAAGCGGAAUAUGUCAUGUAGCGGUGAAAUGCUUAGAUAUGACAUAGAACACCUAUUGCGAAGGCAGCUUACUACGCAUAUAUUGACGCUGAGGCACGAAAGCGUGGGGAUCAAACAGG